rnacentral:rRNA from 1 species
CAGUCGCCGCGGUAAUUCGUAGGUGGCUAGCGUUGCUCGGAAUCACUGGGCGUAAAGGGUGCGUAGGCGGGUCUUUAAGUCAGGGGUGAAAUCCUGGAGCUCAACUCCAGAACUGCCUUUGAUACUGAAGAUCUUGAGUUCGGGAGAGGUGAGUGGAACUGCGAGUGUAGAGGUGAAAUUGGUAGAUAUUCGCAAGAACACCAGUGGCGAAGGCGGCUCACUGGCCCGAUACUGACGCUGAGGCACGAAAGCGUGGGGAGCAAACAGGAUUAGAUACCCCCGUAGUCCCUGUCUCUUAUAC